AAAUAAAUAAUUUGUAGUUGUGUUAUAAUAGACACUAUUUUCCAAGGUUGGCAAUGGUAAACAACUCCCUUUAAGGGGAAAUGAUUAGAAAUAGAAACUUCAAGCACCCUGCCAUAGUGAAAUGUGGCCCUCUGUGGUAAAUUAAAGAUGGCCACAAAUAUUUUCCUAUGUUUUAUAUUGAGAGGUGAAGUCUAAUUCCCCUCUCCUUGAAUUUGUGCUGGCCUUAAUGAUUUGUCCAACAGAAGGCACGAGGGAUAACAUUCUUAGACUUCUCAGGCUAGCUGAGAAGAAGUCUCAUAGCUUCCACUAGAUUUAUUAGAAUGUUGGUUCUCAGAUCAUUGAGAUGCCAUAUAAGAAGUUAGACUAUCCUAAGAAACUACAGGAAGACCCUGAGAUGACCCGAAGUGAGAGAGAGACAUAGUCGUCCAACAAGCCUCAGCUGUUUCAGGCCCUAAAGAUUUGAGUCAUCCUAGCUGAGGUUCCAAAUGUUGGGAUCAGCUACGUGUUAUCUUUACUGAGCUCUGCCCAAAUUGUAGAUUCAUAAGCAAAAUCAAUGAUUGCUGUUAUAUUAAUCCAUUAAGGUUUUAUUUCUCAGGGGAGAAGUGUUACUCAGCAAUGGCUAACCGGAACAUCUUCCAUUAUUAUUGAUUAUAUGAGUUUGAAAUUAUGAAAAUUGUUGGAGAGUUUCCUUAUCAAAUCUUUCCUAUGUAGUAAUAUAGUUGGAGCCAUCACAAAGCUGAAUUUUGAAGCAGGAAUUUAUUUUGAAAAAGCUGUACACGACUUGCUUGUGUUAGAGGAUCAUUGUGGUCAAAGGUUAUAGGAGGCAAAGAAAUUCCCAUCCUAGAUGCAGAAGAGCCUGCAAACUGAGCAAGAUAUAUGUAAAUGCAAGAUAUAUGUAAAUGCAAGAUAUCAGAAACAGGUCUAGGAGUGGAUGGUGACCCCUUUCUACAUGUUACUCAGUUACUACAAUAUAUGUUAAUCAAGUUGAAUAAUAUAUGUCAUUCAAACCUACUAAACAUCAAGCUACAACGAAUGACACUGUGAAUAUAUUUUCAUUGCUCCUCUAAUUAUGUCUUUGAUAUUGAUUUUGACGAAUGGAACUAGAGAGGGCAUAAAAGUAUCUGUAUUGCUCUUGAGACAUACCCCGUGCCAACCAUGGUGUCACUCAUGUAAUAAACUUUUAACAAAUA
rnacentral:lncRNA from 10 species